AGAGUUUGAUCCUGGCUCAGGACGAACGCUGGCGGCGCGCCUAACACAUGCAAGUCGAACGAGAGAGAGGGAGCUUGCUUCCUCAAUCGAGUGGCGAACGGGUGAGUAACGCGUGAGGAACCUGCCUCAAAGAGGGGGACAACAGUUGGAAACGACUGCUAAUACCGCAUAAGCCCACGACCCGGCAUCGGGUUGAGGGAAAAGGAGCAAUCCGCUUUGAGAUGGCCUCGCGUCCGAUUAGCUAGUUGGUGAGGUAAUGGCCCACCAAGGCAACGAUCGGUAGCCGGACUGAGAGGUUGAACGGCCACAUUGGGACUGAGACACGGCCCAGACUCCUACGGGAGGCAGCAGUGGGGAAUAUUGCACAAUGGGGGAAACCCUGAUGCAGCGACGCCGCGUGGAGGAAGAAGGUCUUCGGAUUGUAAACUCCUGUUGUUGAGGAAGAUAAUGACGGUACUCAACAAGGAAGUGACGGCUAACUACGUGCCAGCAGCCGCGGUAAAACGUAGGUCACAAGCGUUGUCCGGAAUUACUGGGUGUAAAGGGAGCGCAGGCGGGAAGACAAGUUGGAAGUGAAAUCUAUGGGCUCAACCCAUAAACUGCUUUCAAAACUGUUUUUCUUGAGUAGUGCAGAGGUAGGCGGAAUUCCCGGUGUAGCGGUGGAAUGCGUAGAUAUCGGGAGGAACACCAGUGGCGAAGGCGGCCUACUGGGCACCAACUGACGCUGAGGCUCGAAAGUGUGGGUAGCAAACAGGAUUAGAUACCCUGGUAGUCCACACCGUAAACGAUGAUUACUAGGUGUUGGAGGAUUGACCCCUUCAGUGCCGCAGUUAACACAAUAAGUAAUCCACCUGGGGAGUACGACCGCAAGGUUGAAACUCAAAGGAAUUGACGG
rnacentral:rRNA from 1 species